AGUGAACGCUGGCGGUAGGCCUAACACAUGCAAGUCGAACGGCAGCACAGUAAGAGCUUGCUCUUACGGGUGGCGAGUGGCGGACGGGUGAGGAAUACAUCGGAAUCUACUUUUUCGUGGGGGAUAACGUAGGGAAACUUACGCUAAUACCGCAUACGACCUACGGGUGAAAGCAGGGGAUCUUCGGACCUUGCGCGAUUGAAUGAGCCGAUGCCGGAUUAGCUAGUUGGCGGGGUAAAGGCCCACCAAGGCGACGAUCCGUAGCUGGUCUGAGAGGAUGAUCAGCCACACUGGAACUGAGACACGGUCCAGACUCCUACGGGAGGCAGCAGUGGGGAAUAUUGGACAAUGGGCGCAAGCCUGAUCCAGCCAUACCGCGUGGGUGAAGAAGGCCUUCGGGUUGUAAAGCCCUUUUAUUGGGGAAGAAAAGCAGCAGGUUAAUACCCCGCUGUUCUGACGGUACCCAAAGAAUAAGCACCGGCUAACUUCGUG
rnacentral:rRNA from 1 species